AGCAUCCGCGGUAAUUCCAGCUCCAAUAGCGUAUAUUAAAGUUGUUGCAGUUAAAAAGCUCGUAGUUGAAUUUCGGGAUCAAUAUUUCGGUCAUGCCGUUGGUAUGCACUGUUAUCAUUGAUUUCUCACCUUCUAAAGAACCGUAAUGCCAUUAAUUUGGUGUUACGGGGAAUUAGGACUGUUACCUUGAAAAAAUUAGAGUGUUUAAAGCAGGCUCACGCUUGAAUACAUUAGCAUGGAAUAAUGAAAUAGGACAUCCGAUUCUAUUUUGUUGGUUUCUAGGAUCGAUGUAAUGAUUAAUAGGGAUAGUUGGGGGCAUUAGUAUUCAAUUGUCAGAGGUGAAAUUCUUGGAUUUAU
rnacentral:rRNA from 1 species